GAUGAACGCUAGCGGGAGGCUUAACACAUGCAAGUCGAGGGGCAGCACGAGAUAGCAAUAUUUUGGUGGCGACCGGCGCACGGGUGAGUAACACGUAUGCAACCUACCCUGUACAGGGGGAUAACCCGGAGAAAUUCGGACUAAUAUCCCAUAAUGAUAUUUGGAGGCAUCUUUAAAUAUUUAAAGCUCAGGCGGUACGGGCUGGGCAUGCGGAACAUUAGCUAGUUGGCAGGGUAACGGCCUACCAAGGCUGCGAUGUUUAGGGGACCUGAGAGGGUGAUCCCCCACACUGGUACUGAGACACGGACCAGACUCCUACGGGAGGCAGCAGUGAGGAAUAUUGGUCAAUGGGCGCAAGCCUGAACCAGCCAUCCCGCGUGAAGGAAGAAGGCGCUAUGCGUUGUAAACUUCUUUUCCAGGGGGUGAAUUUUCCGGUCGUGACCGGGAUUGAUGGUACCCUGGGAAUAAGCAUCGGCUAACUCCGUGCCAGCAGCCGCAGUAAAAC
rnacentral:rRNA from 1 species